rnacentral:lncRNA from 1 species
AAAUCACAGAUAACUACUAGGAGGCCUCACUCUGAGUAAUAUCAAAGUUUUUUCCCACAAGAACCGCUCGGAGAUGCCCGGACUCAGUUUUUAUUUUCGUCCCAAUACUUUUCUUCCAAUGGACUAGUUGUGUUUCUUUGAUCUUGUGCAACCUCUUUAGGCCGAUGAUAGCCAGCGGAUAGGUGUGGAAACCCAUCUAUAUUGCACCCAGUACGACACAGAAAAAAAGCCCAGGGGCCUAGGGGUCGGGUGGGGCUCGUUCGGGUGCACAACGGUUGCGCCAAAAACGGUCCAAAAAUGGCCAAGGCUUUACCAUACGAAAAAUCGGUCCGAUUUUUAACCAUGUGAGAAACGUCCCGAAAAUUCACAGAUAACUACUAGGAGGCCUCACUCUGAGUAAUAUCAAAGUUUUUUCCCACAAGAACCGCUCGGAAUGCCCGGACUCAGUUUUAUUUUCGUCCCAAUACUUUUCUUCCAAUGACUAGUUUGUUUCUUUGAUCUUGUGCAACCUCUUUAGCCGAUGAUAGCCCGGAUAGGUGUGGAAACCCAUCUAUAUUGCACCCAGUACGACACAGAAAAAAAGCCCAGGGCCUAGGGUCGUGGGGCUCGUUCGGGUGCACAACGGUUGCGCCAAAAACGGUCCAAAAAUGGCCAAGGCUUUACCAUACGAAAAAUCGGCCGAUUUUUAACCAUGUGACAAACGUCCCGAAAUUCACAGAUAACUACUAGGAGGCCUCACUCUGAGUAAUAUCAAAGUUUUUUCCCACAAGAACCGCUCGGAGAUGCCCGGACUCAGUUUUUAUUUUCGUCCCAAUACUUUUCUUCCAAUGACUAGUUGUGUUUCUUUGAUCUUGUGCAACCUCUUUAGGCCGAUGAUAGCCCCGGAUAGUGUGGAAACCCAUCUAUAUUGCACCCAGUACGACACAGAAAAAAAGCCCAGGGCCUAGGGUCGGGUGGGGCUCGUUCGGGGUGCACAACGGUUGCGCCAAAAAACGUCCAAAAAUGGCCAAGCUUUACCAUACGAAAAAUCGGUCCGAUUUUUAACCAUGUGAGAAACGUCCCGAAAAUUCACAGAUAACUACUAGGAGGCCUCACUCUGAGUAAUAUCAAAGUUUUUCCCACAAGAACCGCUCGGAGAUGCCCGACUCAGUUUUUUAUUUUCGUCCCAAUACUUUCUUCCAAUGGACUAGUUGUGUUUCUUUGAUCUUGUGCAACCUCUUUAGGCCGAUGAUAGCCCGCGGAUAGUGUGAAACCCAUCUAUAUUGCACCCAGUACGACACAGAAAAAAAGCCCAGGCCUAGGGGUCGGGUGGGCUCGUUCGGGGUGCACAACGGUUGCGCCAAAAACGGUCCAAAAAUGGCCAAGGCUUUACCAUACGAAAAAUCGGCCGAUUUUUAACCAUGUGAGAAACGUCCCGAAAAUUCACAGAUAACUACUAGGAGGCCUCACUCUGAGUAAUAUCAAAGUUUUUUCCCACAAGAACCGCUCGGAGAUGCCCGACUCAGUUUUAUUUUCGUCCCAAUACUUUUCUUCCAAUGGACUAGUUGUGUUCUUUGAUCUUGUGCAACCUCUUUAGCCGAUGAUAGCCCGCGGAUAGGUGUGGAAACCCAUCUAUAUUGCACCCAGUACGACACAGAAAAAAAGCCCAGGGCCUAGGGUCGGGUGGGGCUCGUUCGGGUGCACAACGUUGCGCCAAAAACGGUCCAAAAAUGGCCAAGGCUUUACCAUACGAAAAAUCGGCCGAUUUUUAACCAUGUGAGAAACGUCCCGAAAAUUCACAGAUAACUACUAGGAGGCCUCACUCUGAGUAAUAUCAAAGUUUUUUCCCACAAGAACCGCUCGGAGAUGCCCGGACUCAGUUUUUAUUUUCGUCCCAAUACUUUUCUUCCAAUGGACUAGUUGUGUUCUUUGAUCUUGUGCAACCUCUUUAGGCCGAUGAUAGCCCGCGAUAGUGUGGAAACCCAUCUAUAUUGCACCCAGUACGACACAGAAAAAAAGCCCAGGGCCUAGGGGUCGGGUGGGCUCGUUCGGGGUGCACAACGGUUGCGCCAAAAACGGUCCAAAAAUGGCCAAGCUUUACCAUACGAAAAAUCGGCCGAUUUUUUAACCAUGUGAGAAACGUCCCGAAAAUUCACAGAUAACUACUAGAGGCCUCACUCUGAGUAAUAUCAAAGUUUUUUCCCACAAAACCGCUCGAGAUGCCCGACUCAGUUUUUAUUUUCGUCCCAAUACUUUUCUUCCAAUGGACUAGUUGUGUUUCUUUGAUCUUGUGCAACCUCUUUAGGCCGAUGAUAGCCCGCGGAUAGGUGUGGAAACCCAUCUAUAUUGCACCCAGUACGACACAAAAAAAAAGCCCAGGCCUAGGGGUCGGGUGGGGCUCGUUCGGGUGCACAACGGUUGCGCCACAACGGUCCAAAAAUGGCCAAGGCUUUACCAUACGAAAAAUCGGCCGAUUUUUAACCAUGUGAGAAACGUCCCGAAAAUUCACAGAUAACUACUAGGAGCCUCACUCUGAGUAAUAUCAAAGUUUUUUCCCACAAGAACCGCUCGGAGAUGCCCGACUCAUUUUUAUUUCUCGUCCCAAUACUUUCUUCCAAUGGACUAGUUGUGUUUCUUUGAUCUUGUGCAACCUCUUUAGGCCGAUGAUAGCCGCGAUAGGUGUGGAAACCCAUCUAUAUUGCACCCAGUACGACACAGAAAAAAAGCCAGGGCCUAGGGUCGGGUGGGCUCGUUCGGGUGCACAACGUUGCGCCAAAAACGUCCAAAAAUGCCAAGGCUUUACCAUACGAAAAAAUCGGCCGAUUUUUAACCAUGUGAGAAACGUCCCGAAAAUUCACAGAUAACUACUAGGAGGCCUCACUCUGAGUAAUAUCAAAGUUUUUUCCCACAAGAACCGCUCGAGAUGCCCGACUCAGUUUUUAUUUCGUCCCAAUACUUUUCUUCCAAUGACUAGUUGUGUUUCUUUGAUCUUGUGCAACCUCUUUAGCCGAUGAUAGCCCGCGGAUAGUGUGGAAACCCAUCUAUAUGCACCCAGUACGACACAGAAAAAAAGCCCAGGGCCUAGGGUCGGGUGGGCUCGUUCGGGGUGCACAACGGUUGCGCCAAAAACGGUCCAAAAAUGGCCAAGGCUUUACCAUACGAAAAAUCGGCCGAUUUUAAACCAUGUGAAAACGUCCCGAAAAUUCACAGAUAACUACUAGGAGCCUCACUCUGAGUAAUAUCAAAGUUUUUCACACAAAACCGCUCGGAGAUGCCCGGACUCAGUUUUUAUUUUCGUCCCAAUACUUUUCUUCCAAUGGACUAGUUGUGUUUCUUUGAUCUUGUGCAACCUCUUUAGGCCGAUGAUAGCCCGCGGAUAGUGUGGAAAACCCAUCUAUUGCACCCAGUACGACACAGAAAAAAAGCCCAGGGCCUAGGGUCGUGGUGCUCGUUCGUGCACAACGUUGCGCCAAAAACGGUCCAAAAAUGGCCAAGGCUUUACCAUACGAAAAAUCGGCCGAUUUUUAACCAUGUGAAAACGUCCCGAAAAUUCACAGAUAACUACUAGGAGGCCUCACUCUGAGUAAUAUUCAAAGUUUUUUCCCACAAGAACCGCUCGAGAUGCCCGGACUCAGUUUUUAUUUUCGUCCCAAUACUUUUUUCCAAUGACUAGUUGUGUUUCUUGAUCUUGUGCAACCUCUUUAGGCCGAUGAUAGCCGCGGAUAGUGUGGAAACCCAUCUAUAUUGCACCCAGUACGACACAGAAAAAAAGCCCAGGCCUAGGUCGGGUGGGCUCGUUCGGGUGCACAACGGUUGCGCCAAAAACGGUCCAAAAAAUGGCCAAGGCUUUACCAUACGAAAAAUCGGCCGAUUUUUAACCAUGUGAAACGUCCCGAAAAUUCACAGAUAACUACUAGAGCCUCACUCUGAGUAAUAUCAAAGUUUUUUCCCACAAGAACCGCUCGAGAUGCCCGACUCAGUUUUUAUUUUCGUCCCAAUACUUUUCUUCCAAUGACUAGUUGUGUUUCUUUGAUCUUGUGCAACCUCUUUAGGCCGAUGAUAGCCCGCGGAUAGGUGUGGAAACCCAUCUAUAUUGCACCCAGUACGACACAGAAAAAAAAGCCA